UUUCGUUAUUCGGAUUGUUAUCAUGUAGUCGGACCGUGCUCCGUCCUGCGGAUCUAUAUCGCGUCCGGCUUCGAGCUACUGGAGCCAGCUACGCGUUUUGUGGACAUUUAUCUACUAUUCGGGAUCGCGACGACUCCGUCAGCUCACUGAUCCAUCCGAGGGCGCCCCCCUGGGCCAGGAGGCCGGGGCGACCCGGUCGCUGGAUACAGGUACAGUUGACCGGAGGAGGACUUCUGACGAUCUGGUCAACGCAGCGGACAGCUCAUCGACCGGGUCAUGGGGAUGCGGUCAACCUUCCAGACACGUCACACCGGCAGUUUCCAUGUGAGGAAGUAGGAAAAGAAGCUAGCUAGUGCAUGAUGAAGCUCAAGUCCACCACAUGACGAGGCCUAAAACUUUAGUUGGCAAAUGAUUGAAAAUGUUGAUGACAUGUUUGAAGCCGGGUAAUAUAGCGAUUAUUUUACGAGCUGA